UGGUAAUAUUUAAAAAAUUAUACAUACCGUUAAGUAUCACAUAGCUUUUAAGACGCGAUAUAUAUAUACAAUAACUUUCUUCCAUCCUUCGUCGAUCAUAUACCGUGUGACGUCAAUAGAAACAAACCUUUGAUUGACUUUGACAGUCACUGGAUUAGUCUUUCUUCGUAUCUCGACGAGUACACAUCCAAGCUCCCUCGGGAUGUUUUUCCUUUAAGUGUGGACGAAGAAUUAAAAUACGUGUGACGUCACAAUAUCGAACCUUUGAUUGACUUUGACAGUCACUGGAUCAGUCUUUCUUCGUAUCCCGACGAGUAAACAUCGUAGCUCCCUCGGGAUGUUUUUCCUUUAAGUGUGGACGAAGAAUUAAAAUACGUGUGACGUCACAAUAUCGAACCUUUGAUUGACUUUGACAGUCACUGGAUCAGUCUUUCUUCGUAUCCCGACGAGUAAACAUCGUAGCUCCCUCGGGAUGUUUUUCCUGUAAAUGUGGACGAAGAAUGAGAAUGCCUGUGACGUCACGAUAUCGAACCUUUAAUUGACUUUGACAAUCACUGGAUCAGUCUUUCUUCGUAUUCCGACGAGUAAACAUCGAAGCUCCCUCGGGAUAUUUUUCCUGUAAGAGUGAACGAAGAAUUAAAGUAAGUACAAUCAGCUUAUUUGAUUUUAGACUUAAAUGUGAAGUGGGGAUACACGGCUUCGGGAGACGACAACAAUGUCGGGUCUUUGGCCGACCUGUAUAGUUUCUGGUUCAGUUGUGCGUUGGACUUCGACCAGUGAACUUAGCAAUUUUCGCGGAUGCCAUUCGUGCAAGUAUUAACCAACAAUUAAUUCAAAUAUACAACAGUUCAUUUGAUUUGAUAUUAAAAUUCGAAGUGGGGAUAAUUUUCUUCAUGAGUUGACAACAAAGUCGGCUCUUUGACCGAUCUAUAUAGUUCCUACUUCAGUUGUGCUUUGGACUUCGACCAGUGAAAUUAAAAAAUUUCAAGGAUGCCAUUCGUGCAAGUAUUAACCAACAAUGAAUUCAAAUACAUAACAGCUUAUUUGAUUUUAGACUUAAAUGUGAAGUGGGGAUACACGGCUUCGGGAGACGACAACAAUGUCAGGUCUUUGGCCGACCUAUAUAAUUCCUGGUUCAGUUGUGCGUUGGACUUCGACCAGUGAACUUAGAAAUUUUCGCGGAUGCUAUUCGUGCAAGUAUUAACGAACAGCCAAUUAAAAUAUAUAACAGCUGAUUUGAUUUUAAACUUAAAUGCGAAGUGGGGAUGCUCGGCUUCUGGGGACGACAACAACGUCAGGCCUUUGACCAAUAUUUAUUAUUCCUGGUUCAGUUGUGCGUUGGACUUCGACCAGUGAACUUAGAAAUUUUUCGCGGAUUCCAUUCGUUCAAGUAUAAACCAACAAUGAAUUCAAAUAUAUAACAGCUUAUUUGAUUUUAGACUUAAAUGUGAAGUGGGGAUACACGGCUUCGGGAGACGACAACAAUGUCGGGUCUUUGGCCGACCUAUAUAGUUCCUGGUUCAGUUGUGCGUUGGACUUCGACCAGUGAACUUAGAAAUUUUCGCGGAUGCUAUUCGUGCAAGUAUUAACGAACAGCCAAUUAAAAUAUAUAACAGCUGAUUUGAUUUUAAACUUAAAUGCGAAGUGGGGAUGCUCGGCUUCUGGGGACGACAACAACGUCAGGUCUUUGACCAAUAUUUAUUAUUCCUGGUUCAGUUGUGCUUUGGACUUCGACCAGUGAACUUAGAAAUUUUUGGCGGAUGUCAUUCGUGCAAGUAUUAACCAACAGUUAAUUCAAAUAUAUAACAGCUUAUUUGAUUUUAGACUUAAAUGCGAAGUGGGGAUACACGGCUUCGGGGGACGACAACAAUGUCGGGUCUUUGGCCGACCUAUAUAGUUCCUGGUUCAGUUGUGCGUUGGACUUCGACCAGUGAACUUAGAAAUUUUCGCGGAUGCUAUUCGUGCAAGUAUUAACGAACAGCCAAUUAAAAUAUAUAACAGCUGAUUUGAUUUUAAACUUAAAUGCGAAGUGGGGAUGCUCGGCUUCUGGGGACGACAACAACGUCAGGCCUUUGACCAAUAUUUAUUAUUCCUGGUUCAGUUGUGCUUUGGACUUCGACCAGUGAACUUAGAAAUUUUCGCGGAUGCUAUUCGUGCAAGUAUUAACGAACAGCCAAUUAAAAUAUAUAACAGCUGAUUUGAUUUUAAACUUAAAUGCGAAGUGGGGAUGCUCUGCUUCGGGGGACGACAACAAUGUCGGGUCUUUGGCCGUCUUAUAUAGUUUCUGGUUCAGUUGUGCGUUGAACUUCGAACAGUGAACUUAGAAAUUUUUCGCGGAUGCCAUUCGUUCAAGUAUAAACCAACAAUGAAUUCAAAUAUAUAACAGCUUAUUUGAUUUUAGACUUAAAUUGCGAAGUGGGGAUGCUCGGCUUCGGGGGACGACAACAACGUCAGGCCUUUGACCAAUAUUUAUUAUUCCUGGUUCAGUUGUGCGUUGGACUUCGACCAGUGAACUUAGAAAUUUUUCGCGGAUUCCAUUCGUUCAAGUAUAAACCAACAAUGAAUUCAAAUAUAUAACAGCUUAUUUGAUUUUAGACUUAAAUGUGAAGUGGGGAUACACGGCUUCGGGAGACGACAACAAUGUCGGGUCUUUGGCCGACCUAUAUAGUUCCUGGUUCAGUUGUGCGUUGGACUUCGACCAGUGAACUUAGAAAUUUUCGCGGAUGCUAUUCGUGCAAGUAUUAACGAACAGCCAAUUAAAAUAUAUAACAGCUGAUUUGAUUUUAAACUUAAAUGCGAAGUGGGGAUGCUCGGCUUCUGGGGACGACAACAACGUCAGGCCUUUGACCAAUAUUUAUUAUUCCUGGUUCAGUUGUGCGUUGGACUUCGACCAGUGAACUUAGAAAUUUUUCGCGGAUUCCAUUCGUUCAAGUAUAAACCAACAAUGAAUUCAAAUAUAUAACAGCUUAUUUGAUUUUAGACUUAAAUGUGAAGUGGGGAUACACGGCUUCGGGAGACGACAACAAUGUCGGGUCUUUGGCCGACCUAUAUAGUUCCUGGUUCAGUUGUGCGUUGGACUUCGACCAGUGAACUUAGAAAUUUUCGCGGAUGCUAUUCGUGCAAGUAUUAACGAACAGCCAAUUAAAAUAUAUAACAGCUGAUUUGAUUUUAAACUUAAAUGCGAAGUGGGGAUGCUCGGCUUCGGGGGACGACAACAACGUCAGGCCUUUGAUCAAUAUUUAUUACUCCUGGUUCAGUUGUGCUUUGGACUUCGACUAGUGAACUUUGAAAGUUUCGCACCUUUCGGGGACUUUGAAAAUCUAUCUCCACGACUGGACUUAGAAAUUUUCGCACCUUUGGAGCACUGAAAAUCUUUCUCCACGAGUGGACUUAGAAAUUUUCGCACGAUGCCGAAUUCGAGCGAGUAUUAACGAAGACUUAAAAACCUCUUUGCAGUCGCGCACGUUGCAAUGAUAUAAUCGAGUGUUAGCAUCGCUAAAAUAAAUUUAUCGCGUAGUAGAAGCAGUGUUUGUUCGUUCGCGUUUCGCGAUUUAAACAAUAAAUAUUAUUUUAUCGACUGCGUGCAAUGCAGUCCUUAGAGUCAGUGUUUGUUCGCGAAGUUUUUUGAUUUUUUAACAGUCGCAUAGACUGUACUUAUAAAGGAUAGUAGAGUUUCGCGAAAUAAAUUCAGUGUCCGUUCGUUAAUAAGUAUCUACCGCGAAUUAGAGUCAGUGCAUCACUCAAGAGGAUCUCGACCAACUUCGACGUCGACCUACCUCAUUUUCAACCAACUACAAAUCAUCCACCCUCAAUUUCGACCUAAAUCGCGGUGCAGUGUUUUGGAGCCUUCGCAGAACUUCUUAAGUGGUUAGAUCAUCGAGGGACCGAUCAUCGAGGGACCGAUCAUCGUGGGACCGAUCAUCGUGAAAUUAAAUUUUUACAGGGAAGCUUUUGCAUAUAAUUUUACAUAUAAUUUUUGUUCUUAUAUUUAAGUUUUAUUAAUUUUUAAUUUUUGCUGUUUUGUAUUUAACUUUUAUUAAGUUUUUAAUUUUUGUUUUUAUAUUUUAGUUUUAUUAACUUUUCAAUUUUUGCUCUUACAUUUAAUUUUUAUUAUCUUUUUAAUAUUUGCUUUUAUAUUUAAUUUUUAUUAUCUUUUUAAUUUUGGAUCUUAUAUUUAGCACUACUAUUAUUUUUUUUCUGUUUCAGAUUAGGUGACCGAGGGACGGAUAAUCGUGGGAUUUUUACACGGAAGUUAAUGGAACCUCUCUGCAUAUAAUUCUUAUUAUAUGCAGGGAGGGUAUGUCUCCUUGCUUCCGUACGCGAAUGAUAGGGAAAACACUCACGUGCGUGACGGCCGGCACGCGCGUGGGUGUUCGCGGACGCGAGAUUAAGUCCUGCCGAGGACUACGUUUUGAUUUUGAAAUCGAAGUAUAGACACGACCGGUCGUGUCUCGAGAUGUCUGAAGCCGACGGUGUGGACGGUGGAGCGAUCUGUAAGCGGGGUUUUAUACAUCUCCAGUUUGCUGAGAAAUCUGAAGCUCCCGAAGCGGAAAGGCAUCUCGGUUCGCGGAUUUUAGAGUAGAUUCCCCGUUAGCCCGUGGGUCUCCAAUGCAGCAACCUCCACGCGGUGGGACCUGGGUCGGUAAUGCUUGCGAUAUGUCCAAAUCUUAUGUGAUAUAAGUAUUAUCGAGCGAAUGGCUGCACAUUUCAAAAUCUUUUUCAAAAUCUUUUCCAUAUAAUUCGAAAUUACAUUUCGCAUGGUUUCAUACAUCUUUCGUGUCUUCAACAAUAAGUUUACUGUCAUUUCUAUUCAUCGAAACGCAUAGCUCUAUAAUGUAAUAAUUACUCUGGAUUAAUUAUUAUGGUUUCUCUCGGGUGGGUCCCAUGAGUAGGGCUCAUGGGCGUGGGCUUCUGUGCGGGUCUCCUUCUUUCAGUAUCGAAAAAUCCAACUCGAUUUUGGUACUCUGGUUUUGGUCCGGUCCAUCUUUUCUAAUUCAAUUUCAUCGUUUUCACACGUGCAUGUGUUUGAUUAUAACUUCCGGAUAUCCUUUCUUUCUAUUCUUCUGAGUUUUAUCGGACUCACGUGCGCGCAUGUUCCGGUUUUCUUUUCCUGCUUCUCUUCUUCGCAGUUUUCGAUAUAUCAGCGAGGUUCCGAUAUAUCGUCGAAAGGUUCGUUUCAUAAUCGAUUGCUAGACGCGAAUACGGGUAAGAUAGGAAGAACACUAACGCCUGUGUCGGCGGGCACAGACGUGGUGUUCUCGGGCGCGAAUAAAAGUCCUACGGUAAUGGACUUCGUUUGAUUGUUAAACCGAAUAAUGACCGGUCGCGUGUCGGUUCGUGUGCUGCCGAGCGGUAUGGAUUGCUAUCCGUAAGCGUGGACUGACCCUCCUCCAGUUAGCCGCCUGAAUUCUCGGUUGGUGCGUGGACGCCGCGAACGCGAAUUUAGAAUAGAGUCACCGUUAUUCUAACACUCACGGGAGUGUUCGGGCGCGACUAAAAGUCCUACCGGGGACUUCGUUUUAUAGAACGCCGAUUAUUUGAUCACGCCGGUCACGCGAAUUAUAGAGUAGAGUCCCCGUUAGCUCGUGGGUCCCCAGAUGCAGCUAC